GGCCCCUUGGUCAAGUGGUUAAGACAUCGGCCUUUCACGCCGAAGUCAGGGGUUCGAAUCCCCUAGGGGUCACCA
rnacentral:tRNA from 1 species